GUAGUGGUAGCCUACACACACACACAGACACACGCACACGACAAAUCCCCCACACACACGCACACACAUUACGUACGUGCACACACACACACACACACACACACACACACACACACACACACACACACACACACACACACACACACACACACACACACACUUAUUACAGUGUGGGUCGAACUGGGUUUGAGAGCGUCACUUAUCUACCGGAAGCGGCCACCCUUCAUUUGAGCGCCAUGGUUCCCAUGAGCAUCGCCUCUGAAUGGGGAUAGGCCUACUGUCCGCGGCGCGCGAGAGUCAACCGCUUCUGUGCAGAGUUCAACGGGUACUCGACUUGCUAAGAUCCAAGGGAUUGGACGUACAGUGGGCAGGGCCUCGCUCCGCGACCAACCAAUCGCCGAUCUGAACGCCCUGCAGGCGUGUACCUGUUGCCGUUGGUAACGGCGAAGGUACCCGCCCCCUGGACGUUCGAAUCCUGUGAUCAUCCUGUCUAAUGCGUGACAUCACUUUCCCAAACUCUCGCC
ensembl:lncRNA